GUGCCAGCAGCCGCGGUAAUACGGAGGGUGCAAGCGUUAAUCGGAAUUACUGGGCGUAAAGCGCACGCAGGCGGUUUGUUAAGCUAGAUGUGAAAGCCCCGGGCUCAACCUGGGACGGUCAUUUAGAACUGGCAGACUAGAGUCUUGGAGAGGGGAGUGGAAUUCCAGGUGUAGCGGUGAAAUGCGUAGAUAUCUGGAGGAACAUCAGUGGCGAAGGCGACUCCCUGGCCAAAGACUGACGCUCAUGUGCGAAAGUGUGGGUAGCGAACAGGAUUAGAUACCCUGGUAGUCC
rnacentral:rRNA from 1 species